rnacentral:lncRNA from 1 species
CAUGGCAUGCCAUCAACUUAAGCCCAAAUAUAUAACGAUACAAUAAUAAUUCUUCUUUUUCUUUAUAGGCAGGUUGCUGUUUACGAUGGAAGAAAGCGAUACAAUAAUAAUUCUUCUUUUUCUUUACAGGCAGGUUGCUGUUUAUGAUGGAAGAAAGCGAUACAAUAAUAAUUCUUCUUUUUCUUUACAGGCAGGUUGCGGUUUAUGAUGGAAGAAAGCGGAGACCUGUCAGUGGCCUGGCACCGGAGAUGACAUGGGGCAGGUCGUAGUUGAUGCCCUUGA